CAAAAAGUAGUUUAAGAUAAAAUUCUGGUUUUGGGGAUCAGAGAUGGAGCGCUCCCUUUUUGA
rnacentral:tRNA from 1 species